AGGAAUAAAAUAAGGAGCUGGGGCAUUAGACAUAUCUUGGAGAAAUUAGUCUUCACCCAUGACCCAAUGAAGUGUUUGCCUAUAUUCUAUUAAUAAAAACUCAGGAGUCAGAUAUUGGGGUACAAACCUACUAGAUCAAGAAAGCAGUAGGGAAAUGACUAGCCAACUCUCUUUCUCCACUCUGUCAGAUUGAAAAGCCUGAGAAUCUCUCUCUCCAAGCCCCCCCACCUUUCUCUUCCUCUACUUCUCUCUCUGGGCCCUCCAAAAUCUGUAUGGCUAAUUCUGGUCAGCUAGUUAUGGACUCCAUCCCUUGAUUCAAGGUUUAACUUUACUAACAGUCUCAGAGUAUCGUUGUGCAAUCAAAUAUCCCACAACAGCCCAACUAUCAGAGUGUUCUAUUUUUGUGAAGAGACACCAUGACCACAGCAACUCUUAGAAAAGAGAGCAUUGAAUUGGGGCCUGCUUACAGUUUCAGAGGUUUAGUCUGUUAUUAUCAUGGCGGGGAGCAUGGUCGCAUACAGGCAGACAUGGUGCUGGAGAAGUAUCUCAGAGUUCUACAAAUGGAUCUUCAUGCAACUGGGAGAGAAAGACUCAGGGCUUGGAAUGGGCUUUUUAAAACCUCAAAGCCCACCCCCAAUGACACACUUUCUCCAACAAGGCCACACCUCCUAAUCCUUCCAUAUAGUGCCACCCCCUGGUGACCAAGCAUUCAAAUCUAUGAGCCUGUGGGGACCAUUAUUAUUCAAACUACCAUACCACCCCAAUUCUGGUUGCAGAAGUCUGAUCAAAAUAAGAAAAAGGAAACACCAGGAAAAAAAGAAAAAGCAGAGAACAAAAAGCAACUGAAGGUAGGAAAAGCAAACUCAAGAUAAGAAAACUAAAGCUGUGAAGGCAGAUGAAACCAUACUUCAGAAAAGGAAUACAGAGAAAAUGGAACCCCCACCCCAGCCAGAGCAGCUGCCUGCUAAGGUCAUGCUGGCAAGCAUAAAGAUCCAGGCCUGGUGGCGAGGCACCCUGGUGCGCCGGACCCUGCUGAAGGCUGCCCUCAGUGCUUGGACCAUUCAGUGCUGGUGGAGGCAGACAAUGGCCAGGCUGCUGAAGAGGAGGUUACAGGAGAAGAUGGACUGCAGCCUGAGACAAAUAUAUGCAGCUGUGAAGCUGCAGUCCUGGGUGCGUAUGUGGCUCACCCGGAAGCAAUAUCUCCAUUUGCGCAACUCUGUUCUAAAACUGCAAGACUCUAGGAAUUAUGACUACAUUUGUAGAAAUCAUAGUGCGAUCCAGGGCUGCUAUGAGAUCACAGGAAAGAAGAUAAAACUUCAGGUUGAUAUCUUUUUUGAAUCGCAGAUUUGUCGGAUUUCAGACUGUGUGCCUUUCCCAAUAAAGAACUGACCAGGGUUGCUCCUAA